GACGAACGCUAGCGGCGUGCCUAAGAAAUGCAAGUUGAGCGAGGUGAUGGACUUCGGUCUGUUUACCUAGCAGCGAACGGUCGCGUAACACGUAAGCAACCUGCCUCGAAGUUUGGGAUAGCCCUCCGAAAGGAGGAGUAAUACCGGAUGUGGAUAUAUUUAGACAUCUUUAUGUAUCUAAAGCAGCAAUGCGCUUCGAGAUGGGCUUGCGGCCUAUCAGCUAGUUGGUGAGGUAACGGCCCACCAAGGCGACGACGGGUAGCUGGUCUGAGAGGAUGAUCAGCCGGAUUGGGACUGAGAUACGGCCCAGACUCCUACGGGUGGCAG
rnacentral:rRNA from 1 species